CCUACGGGUGGCAGCAGUGAGGAAUAUUGGUCAAUGGCCGCAAGGCUGAACCAGCCAAGUAGCGUGAGGGAAGACUGCCCUAUGGGUUGUAAACCUCUUUUAUGCGGGGAUAAAAGUGUCCACGUGUGGAUGUUUGCAGGUACCUGCAAAGGAAGCACCGGCUAACUCCGUGCCAGCAGCCGCGGUAAUACGGAGGGUGCGAGCGUUAAUCGGAAUUACUGGGCGUAAAGCGCACGUAGGCGGUAGGUCAAGUCAAGGGUGAAAUCCCCGCGCUCAACGUGGGAACUGCCUUUGAAACUGGCAACGUUGAGUGUGUGAGAGGCUAGUGGAAUUCCAGGUGUAGGAGUGAAAUCCGUAGAUAUCUGGAGGAACAUCAGUGGCGAAGGCGACUUUCUGGCACAUAACUGACGCUGAGGAGCGAAAGCGUGGGUAGCAAACAGGAUUAGAUACCCGGGUAGUC
rnacentral:rRNA from 1 species